AUUGAACGCUGGCGGAAUGCUUUACACAUGCAAGUCGAACGGCAGCACGGGGGCAACCCUGGUGGCGAGUGGCGAACGGGUGAGUAAUACAUCGGAACGUGCCCGGUCGUGGGGGAUAACGUAGCGAAAGUUACGCUAAUACCGCAUACGAUCUGAGGAUGAAAGCGGGGGACCUUCGGGCCUCGCGCGAUCGGAGCGGCCGAUGUCAGAUUAGGUAGUUGGUGGGGUAAAGGCCUGCCAAGCCGACGAUCUGUAGCUGGUCUGAGAGGACGACCAGCCACACUGGGACUGAGACACGGCCCAGACUCCUACGGGAGGCAGCAGUGGGGAAUUUUGGACAAAGGGCGCAAGCCUGAUCCAGCCAUUCCGCGUGCAGGACGAAGGCCUUCGGGUUGUAAACUGCUUUUGUAUGGAACGAAAAGGCUCUGGCUAAUACCUGGGGCUCAUGACGGUACCGUAAGAAUAAGCACCGGCUAACUACGUG
rnacentral:rRNA from 1 species